UACGGAGGGUGCAAGCGUUAUCCGGAUUUACUGGGUUUAAAGGGUGCGUAGGUGGGCAGGUAAGUCCGUGGUGAAAUCCCCGAGCUUAACUCGGGAACUGCCGUGGAUACUAUUUGUCUUGAAUAUUGUGGAGGUAAGCGGAAUAUGUCAUGUAGCGGUGAAAUGCUUAGAUAUGACAUAGAACACCAAUUGCGAAGGCAGCUUACUACACAGUUAUUGACGCUGAGGCACGAAAGCGUGGGGAUCAAACAGG
rnacentral:rRNA from 1 species